GGAUGGAUGUCUGAGCGGUUGAAAGAGUCGGUCUUGAAAACCGAAGUAUUGAUAGGAAUACCGGGGGUUCGAAUCCCUCUCCAUCCA
rnacentral:tRNA from 1 species